rnacentral:rRNA from 1 species
CUCGUAGGCGGUUCAGCAAGUCGGUCGUGAAAGCCCGGGGCUCAACCCCGGGAUGCCGGUCGAAACUGCUGUGACUUGAGUUCGGUAGAGGUGAGUGGAAUUCUCGGUGUAGCGGUGGAAUGCGCAGAUAUCGAGAGGAACACCCGUAGCGAAGGCGGCUCACUGGGCCGAUACUGACGCUGAGGAGCGAGAGCAUGGGGAGCAAACAGGAUUAGAUACCCUGGUAGUCC